rnacentral:rRNA from 1 species
GGACUACUGGGGUAUCUAAUCCUGUUUGCUCCCCUUGCUAUCGCGCCUCAGCGUCAGGUGUUAACUAGAAAACCGCUUUCGCCACAGGUGUUCCUCCACAUAUCUACGCAUUUCACCGCUACACGUGGAAUUCCAUUUUCUCCGUCAACCCUCAAGGUUUGCAGUUUCAGACGCAGCUCCGAGGUUGAGCCCCGGAAUUUCACAUCUGACUUACAAAUCCGCCUACGCGCCCUUUACGCCCAAUAAAUCCGAUUAAUGCUUGCACCCUCCGUAUUACCGCGGCUGCUGGCAC